AAACCAUGAUGUGGGAACCUUCUUAAAAGUUCUCCAAAUUGUUCUCAUGCUUCAAAUAAGGAUUCAAACUCAUAUUGUUGAAAGUUGAAUAUCUCUGCUAUAAGCUU